AGGUCAAGCGAAGAAGGGCGCAGGGCGGAUGCUUGGCACUGAGAGCCGAUGAAAGACGUGAUAAGCUGCGAUAAGCUUCGGGGAGGAGCAAAUAUCCUUUGAUCCGGAGAUCUCUGAAUGGGGAAACCCGGCUGUAUGGACUACAGUCAUCCAUAAGUGAAUCCAUAGCUUAUGGAAGGGAACCCGGGGAACUGAAACAUCUAAGUACCCGGAGGAAGAGAAAGAAACAUUCGAUUCCGUAAGUAGCGGCGAGCGAACGCGGAAGAGCCCAAACCCGUGAUGCGUGCAUCGCGGGGUUCGGACUGCAUAAGGGAUUCAGUAACGGCAGGAGAACGGCUUUGGAACAGCCGGCCAGAGAGGGUGAGAGCCCCGUAUCCGAAGCCAGAGCUGACCCGGCAGGAUCCAGAGUACCACGGGACACGGGAAACCCUGUGGGAACGAGCGGAGACCACUCCGUAAGGCUAAAUACUACUCAGUGACCGAUAGCGUAUAGUACUGUGAAGGAAAGGUGAAAAGAACCCCGGGAGGGGAGUGAAAGAGAACCUGAAACCCUGUGUCUACAAGCUGUGGAAGUACUUCU
rnacentral:rRNA from 1 species